GCCAGACUCCUACGGGAGGCAGCAGUGAGGAAUAUUGGUCAAUGGUCGGGAGACUGAACCAGCCAAGCCGCGUGAGGGAUGAAGGUACAGAGUAUCGUAAACCUCUUUUGUCAGGGAACAAAGGCGGGGACGUGUCCCCGGAUGUGUGUACCUGAAGAAAAAGCAUCGGCUAACUCCGUGCCAGCAGCCGCGGUAAUACGGAGGAUGCGAGCGUUAUCCGGAUUUAUUGGGUUUAAAGGGUGCGUAGGCGGACUGUCAAGUCAGCGGUAAAAUGCGGGGGCUCAACCUCGCUCCGCCGUUGAAACUGGGGAUCUAGAGUGUGCGAGAGGUAUGCGGAAUGCGUGGUGUAGCGGUGAAAUGCAUAGAUAUCACGCAGAACCCCGAUUGCGAAGGCAGCAUACCGGUGCACAACUGACGCUCAGGCACGAAAGCGUGGGUAUCGAACAGGAUUAGAUACCCCAGUA
rnacentral:rRNA from 1 species